UACGGGGGGGGCAAGCGUUGUUCGGAAUUACUGGGCGUAAAGGGCUCGUAGGUGGCCAACUAAGUCAGACGUGAAAUCCCUCGGCUUAACCGGGGAACUGCGUCUGAUACUGGAUGGCUUGAGUUUGGGAGAGGGACGCGGAAUUCCAGGUGUAGCGGUGAAAUGCGUAGAUAUCGGGAAGAACACCAGUGGCGAAAGCGCUCUACUGGACCAUAACUGACACUGAGGGACGAAAGCUAGGGGAGCGAAAGGG
rnacentral:rRNA from 1 species